AGGACAAGAACUAGGGACCAGUGCAAGGUGUUUUUUAGCAAGGCCAGGAAGUGCCUUGGACUGGAUUUGAUGCAUCCUGGACAUAGAAAUUUUGGAACACCAGUUAGCGAUGUUGGAAAUGGAGGUGGGAGUGACACAGAAGAUGCCUGUGCUAUAGAGACUGGAUCUGCUAUUUCCAGUGAUAAACUAGACUCUAAGAUUGAUGAGGACUUGCCGCCGUCUGUCAUGAAUACAGAGCAUAAUGAAUCUGAUGCAGAGGAGAGGAUAAGGUUGCAUUCUGACCUGGAUGGAACUGAAGACAAUAAUGCAUCUGGGAUAUUAGAUCAUAAUGAUUCCAAGAUUGUGGAUAAAAUGGUUUCUGAUCCAGCUGAGGCGGGGAAGAGGGCUGAUCUAGCUUUGGUUGUUG
rnacentral:lncRNA from 1 species